AAUGUUUUGCAGGGGGACACGAUUGGUGUUGAGAAGGUUAAAACCUGACCCUUAGAACCUGAUCCGUUAAUACGGGCGUAGGGAGCAACGUACAUAUUAUU
rnacentral:ncRNA from 2 species